GACGAACGCUGGCGGCGUGCCUAAUACAUGCAAGUCGAACGCUUCUUUCCUCCCGAGUGCUUGCACUCAAUUGGAAAGAGGAGUGGCGGACGGGUGUGUAACACGUGGGUAACCUACCCAUCAGAGGGGGAUAACACUUGGAAACAGGUGCUAAUACCGCAUAACAGUUUAUGCCGCAUGGCAUAAGAGUGAAAGGCGCUUUCGGGUGUCGCUGAUGGAUGGACCCGCGGUGCAUUAGCUAGUUGGUGAGGUAACGGCUCACCAAGGCCACGAUGCAUAGCCGACCUGAGAGGGUGAUCGGCCACACUGGGACUGAGACACGGCCCAGACUCCUACGGGAGGCAGCAGUAGGGAAUCUUCGGCAAUGGACGAAAGUCUGACCGAGCAACGCCGCGUGAGUGAAGAAGGUUUUCGGAUCGUAAAACUCUGUUGUUAGAGAAGAACAAGGACGUUAGUAACUGAACGUCCCCUGACGGUAUCUAACCAGAAAGCCACGGCUAACUACGUG
rnacentral:rRNA from 1 species